GCAGUGGUGGUUCUGUGGUUGGAUUCUUGCCGUCUAUCCUGGAUACCUGGGUUCGAUUCCCAGCCAGUGCU
rnacentral:tRNA from 1 species